CAAUAUGUGGCCUAGUUGUUUGAGUGGUGGACUACAACUCCAGAGACCAGGAUUCGAUUCCCAGCUCAGCCA